GACGAACGCUGGCGGCGUGCUUAACACAUGCAAGUCGAACGGAAAGGCCCCUUCGGGGGUCCUCGAGUGGCGAACAGGUGAGUAACACGUGAGUAACCUGCCCUUGACUUCGGGAUAACUUCGGGAAACUGGGGCUAAUACCGGAUAGGAAUCCUUGCUGCAUGGUGGGGGUUGGAAAGCUUCGGCGGUUUUGGAUGGACUCGCGGCUUAUCAGCUUGUUGGUGGGGUAGUGGCUUACCAAGGCUUUGACGGGUAGCCGGCCUGAGAGGGCGACCGGCCACAUUGGGACUGAGAUACGGCCCAGACUCCUACGGGAGGCAGCAGUGGGGAAUAUUGCACAAUGGGCGGAAGCCUGAUGCAGCAACGCCGCGUGCGGGAUGACGGCCUUCGGGUUGUAAACCGCUUUCAGCAGGGGCGAAGCUUGUGGUGACGGUACCUGCAGAAGAAGCACCGGCUAACUACGUG
rnacentral:rRNA from 1 species